CUGGCACCUACUACCAUACCCCGUUCAAAGUCACUUAAAUCCAUGUCUCAAUUGUCUCAAGGCUUAAAAAAAAAAAUGUUUGAGUCACCUGACCAGUCUGUCUUGGAAAGAGCAGGUUUGCUUAAUGUUUUGAACACUCAGUGUUUGCUCCUCUUUCUCCUAUCGGCUCCUAUUGUCUCCUAUCGACUCCUAUAUUCUCUUUACGACUCAUAUCGACUCUUAUAUUCUCUUAAUGACUCCUAUUGACUCCUAUAUUCUCUUUACGACUCCUAUCGACUCCUACAUUCUCUUAACUCCUAAUCUCUCUUCUGUAUUGAAGACUCCAUUGAAAUAAUACACUAACAGAAUGUCUGUUUACCUUUUUCAUAAUGACACACACUACAGUAUACACACACACACAGUACACUCACACACUACAGUACUGGUAAGUGCACGAGGGGCCUUCAUACGGCCUGUAUCAGUUUAUGUAGAUGACUCAAAACAUGUAAGCGGUGCGAGUGAACAUCCUUGUCCAAUCCCUCCAAUCAAGAGUGUGCUGAGACCAAAUAUGUUGCUAAACGAAUUCAACACUUCUAUCAGGUGAGCAAUCUCAAGUGCCUCAGGUGCAUCUCAAUAGUAUAAUGUGGCUUCCUCUUCGUCUCCAUCAGCUACAUAAGAUAGAGUGCGUGAAUGCACAUGGUGGAUUCCUACCAGGGAGUUACUUUCUGCUGUUAUGUGUUUUCACAUCAGUGCAAAGGAAAGGACACUGCUUUAAACUGAUUAUAUGCACCGCUGGUCUUGGGUCGCUAGCGUACCUGUAGACGUCCAGUCAUUGCACUAACGCUAGUUAGCAUUGGCUCGCGAAACUGCCUCUAACUUCCUUCAUACUGCAAGCAGACAUAAAAACGCAGAGACACAAAAUGAAUUGCCAGAAUGGUGUAGUAUCCCUUUAAAUAUAACACACUCUUAACCUUCCCCAUACUGUAUGUGCUCUCACUUAUCCUGUGUGAUCUGAUUUAAGUGCACACAGGUCCUUCUGGGGAAAGAGAGUGUUACGGACGCCGUCGUCCCAGAGGCACAUUGACCCACUGCUGAACCAGUCACCUGGAUGGAAGGUACAUCAGAGGAAACGGUCACCUUGAUGGAAGGAAUGUCAGAGGAAACGGUCACCUUGAUGGAAGGAAUGUCAGAGGAACGAUCACCUUGAUGGAAGUAAUGUGAGAGGAACGAUCACCUUGAUGGAAGUAAUGUGAGAGGAACGAUCACCUUGAUGGAAGUAAUGUGAGAGGAACGAUCACCUUGAUGGAAGUAAUGUGAGAGGAACGAUCACCUUGAUGGAAGUAAUGUGAGAGGAACGAUCACCUUGAUGGAAGGAACAUCGGAGGAAAUGGUCACCUUGAUGGAAGUAAUGUGAGAGGAACGAUCACCUUGAUGGAAGGAAAGUCAGAGGAAACGAUCACCUUCAUGGAAGGAACGUUGGAGGAAACAUUGUCGGGAGAUGCAGUGGUGAAGUACAGGGAGGUUUAUGAGAAAUCCAAAGGUCCAGAACAGCAUUCCAAGAGUUGCAGCAUUCCAAGAACAUCUGCGCUUUCAUCUCUGAGCACUCCUCCUAUUCUCCUUUGUUUGCUGAACCACAGAGGAUGACCUCAACUCACAUCCAUUUAUUUGCUUUAUCAAGUACAAAGUACAAAGAUAGCGGGAAGAAAAAUAUCUCCCAUCUGGUCUAGCUGAUACCAUGGAUACCCAAUCUGUCAGAAAUGUGUCUGAACUGCAAAGUCAGGUGAAAAGAGCAGCAGACGAAGUACAAGAAGGCAGUGAAGAAGAAGGCAAGGUCUCUCUACUCUGUGAUGCGAAAGACUCUGGAGACCCAACAUGCCAAGCGGUCUCCCAGCUCCAGAGCCAGGCGUGGGCAGCAGGCCAAGUACAAGGAGGCAGGGAAGCAGCAGUUCUCCACUCCUCUCUACUCAAAGCUUCCAGAGACUUUGGAGACUCAGCACGCCAAAGAGGCCUCCCAGCUACAGAGCAUGCUGAAAUACAAGCAAGGUGGCUAAAAGGAUACGUCCAGUUCUCUGUACUCCCUGCUUCAAGAAACGACAGAGAUCCAGCUAGACAAAGAGAACUGGGAUAUUUACAGUGAGGUGGCCUAAAGGAGUAAAACUAAGCAUUACAUCUACAAUGAUGUCCUGGGAAGGUUUGAUAUCGAGCAUGCCAAUGUGGCCUCCAAACUCACUAGCCAGGUAAAGUACAAGAAGAAGUACGAGCGGUCUAACGGACACUACUAUAUAGCACUGGACACAACAGAACAGCAAGAGAAUGAGGUACUACACAGCCAGGAAGUGAUGUCACUGAGUACUGCCCCUAUAUAUAGGACCUUCCACCACCUGGGAUAUGGAUUCCUGAUGACGACCUAGACGUUGAAAUGUUGUUGUAAAUAAAUAUCACCUGGGAGAAUGAGCAACAGUGUGCAGUGUUUUCCUUUCUGUUUUCCAUGAGUUUGCCUACAACUCCAGCACCUGCGGAAAGUACCAGGAUGUGAGUAUGUUCUUCAGCUUUGGCACACAGUAGCAAAACGUUUUGCAACAGGGAACAAAAACAAGUAUUUCUGUCAUGAACCCUUUGAUGUCUUGUUGUUGCCAAGCUGACCUGAGUCUGUCAGUGUACGUGUUAGUCUGUGUUUGACUCUUCCAGGCCUCCUGCAAGCAGAUAGCCCUGCUGAGGGAGAACUCGUAUUGAACAGUGUCCGAGACACAUCAGAACUACUGCACGCCGCCUACCUGAAAGCUGUCUACAGUCAGUUAGGGAUAACUCUCAGUACAGCAUCCCACCACGCAUUGCACUUUAUUUUACACCACAGAAUGGGAUAUGUGCUUGGAUGGUGUGUCAAUCUCCCUCAACUUUAUGCAGAAGAAGUACAAGGAUGAGGCGGAGAAACUGAAGGGUUCAUAUGUGUUCAACACCCCUGAGAUUGAGAGAGUGAAGAACAACCAGAGAAACAGCUCAGUGAGGGACACAGUACACACAUACACACACUUUUAUGCCGUAUUAUCUGUCAACACAGUUACCCUUUUGCUCUACCCCUCCAGUGUCAGUACACUUGGGACUCAAAGCUGCUGAAAAGCCUGAUGUCUUCUGUCACCGACACUCCGGAAAUCAUCUUCGCCAGGGAGAACAAAGAAAAUCAGUGACGUGAAAUACAGAGACUGGGUGGGGAGCGGGACGGUAGUCAUGGAAACUGUUGACAUGGAGAGGUUCCGCAGAAACAAUGAGAACAUCAGCUUGGUGAAGCAUAAAAAGCAUCUCCAGGCCCCCAGUGUGGGAGUCACCUCAGAGUUGGAGAGAGUCCGUCAGAACCAGGAGAUCAUCAGCUCAGCAAGUCACAUAGGAUGCAUCUUAAAUGGCAACCUACAGUAUAUGUUAGCUCUGACCAAAAGUACUAUCACUACUAUGUAGUGAAAAUGGCCUUGGUGGGAGUGUGCUAGUCAGUAUGACCACCAAUUACUUUUGAGCUAUUUUAGAUUAUUGAGAUGCAACCCGACCUACUUUUGUGCGUUGCAGGUGAAGUACCAGCGCGGGAUGAAGGAGAUGAAGGGGUGGUCCUGCGGCGAGUUGGACACGCCCGGACUGAGUAGUGUCAGGGAGUCAUAGAACGACAUCUAACACAACUGAAGCGCACCACAUGGGGGACUGCUGCACUUUUAACCCACACAGCUAAAUAGUUAACAGCAUGGCUGUUUCCUUGUUAUGAGUGUCUGUGUGUGCGUUACUAAUAAAGUGAUUUUUACAUGG